rnacentral:lncRNA from 1 species
AAAAAAUAUCAUCCGGAUCAUGAAAAAAUAUGAAAGACGUUGAUCUUCAAGUCUAAAGUUGAAUUUUUCAAAAUCUUGAUGUAAUUGAACUUCAAUUCCUUACUAUGACUUGAUCCCCUCUCUCAAAAUAUAGUAAUUGGCCCAUUGUUCAUAAUGAAUUUGAUGAAAUCAGGGACGGAUCCAGACUCAGGCUAUAGCCCUUGUCGCCCUAUUUAUUUAUUUAUUUAUUUUUGGUUCAGCCCAUGUAAAAUUUUAAAUCAGCCCGUGUAAAAUUGAAAAUCAGUCUGUGUGGUGUAAGUCUAGUUACAACAAAAUGAGCAAAUGGCCCAAUUUUAAUUUUUUGGCCCAAUUAAAGCAUAAAUUUUAUCAUCCAUCUAAACCUAAGAGCAAAUCCAAACCAAACCUAAUUCUAAUCCAAUAUUAAUCCUUCUUUUGACAACCAAUAGGUCCACACAAGUCAGAAAUCAAAAUCAAACGGGAAUGGCGAUUCCUCUCUCUCGGUCUCUCCAUUCUCCAAGACUCCAACCUAUUUUUCAAAAUUUCAAUCCAAAAUUUCUAUAAAAUUAAGGAACCCAUUACCCAAAUCAAAGAUUUUAUUUAUUGAAAGUGUAUUUUGCUGGGACAAGACAAUGGAUUUUGAACUGUAGUUGGUGCCGCGAUGCCGUAGAGGAAAAUGGAAAACCGUCUUAUAUAGAGGUGGCUCAGCCCGAAUACCUUAUGUGAAUCUGGUACUUCUCCAUUCUCUCUCUCUCUCUCUCUCUGAAUGGCUUGUAUAGUUGUAUAGGAAAUGGGAGGUGAUUCGAUCAGGUGAAGAAGAGGCGAAGAGCCUUUUUUAACCCGUAUGGGGAUUCUUAAUAAAGUCACAAAUUAAAGAACUGUGGUUUAAAGCACAAAUAAAUAUGUCGUCUCUUUUAAGUCAUUAUUUUUAUAUUGUUCAAAAGCAUCUUGAAUGAUUUUCACAAAAUUCAAAAAAGAACUAAUUGCAUUAACCGUAAAGUAAAUAAAAAAUAUAUUUAAAAAAAAGUAUGCUGGUACGACUAUGUGGUAACUUAGAUUUUAUAACUUGGACAAUUUUUUAUAUAUAUUUGUCGUUGAUAUUGAUUAUUGAGUACGAGUUUUUAAAAAAUCGGAGUUUUCUUUUUUUAUUGUUUGUAAUUUGUUGAAAAUUGAAAUGGCCGCCUGAUAAUUUUUUAUUUUUGAAACUUUCUAUUUUAAGCAUUUUUAAAAUUUCUACUUUGAGAAUUCGAUUGUCAACAUGCUUAAUUGAAUUAUUUUUCAGUUUUAAAAAUCAGUAAAUUUAUUAUUAUCAAGGCACAGACACAAUCUCGGUCCAGCGAACAUGUAGGAAAAGCAAAUUGCAAAAGCUUAAUAUACUCCCUUGUAAGUAAAUGCCCUCGUCUCUCCACUUGUGGCCUCGUUGGCAAAAUAUUGAAUUAGUUAAUUAACUAUUGUUGAAAUAUUGCAUUGUCAACUUAAUAACUUGUUGUUGUCUUGUCGGCUUAAUGAUUGUUAUUGUUGUCGUCUUGUUGGUUUAAUGAUUGUUGUUAUUGCCUUGUCAACUUAGUGAAUUAUUUUUGGAUUGUUGCUAGAAUAAUCACCGAUGAUUGAUUUUUUCUUUUUUACCCUUUUAUUUUUGCAAUUUUAAGAAUUGGAAAUGGAAGGUUUGAGAGGAAUAAGAACUUGUUUUCGUUCUUCCAAAGGGCUGAUCGACCUGUUGGAAGUUCAACUUUUGAUGGACUAAUUGAAGAUCUACCUUCAUUUCCUCCGGAAGUUGAACGUAAUUCAUCCUCAAAUAUUAGCAUUGAACGGGAAUCAGGGAAAAGAAAGCAAAUACUAGAAUUUCCUUCUAAUCAGCGGGAUGAGAUUAAAGUGACAUAUUUAAAGGCUGAGCCUUAUCAAUCAAGACUUGUUGAGUAUCCUAAGACACAAGGAAAAUCUCAGUCUCGUUGUUUUCAAGCAAAAUGGUUCAACCAGUUUCCUUUGUUAGAGUAUUCGCCUACAACGGAUAGAGCAUAUCGUUUUUAUUGUUAUCUUUUUCGGAAUAAUGGUAAUAUGUCAAAUUGUUCGGUAUUGAUAACUUUUGGAUAUAACCAAUGGAAGAGGUUAAUGACGGAGCAAAAUGUGUAUUUCUUAUUAAUUUGCGAUCAUCAGAACAUAAUAUGUGUGAGAGGAGCUAAAGAUUUAAUGAAACCG